rnacentral:rRNA from 1 species
UACGGAGGAUGCAAGCGUUAUCCGGAAUCAUUGGGUUUAAAGGGUCCGUAGGUGGACAGAUAAGUCAGAGGUGAAAUCCUGCAGCUCAACUGUAGAAUUGCCUUUGAUACUGUUUGUCUUGAGUCAUUAUGAAGUGGUUGGAAUGAGUAGUGUAGCGGUGAAAUGCAUAGAUAUUACUCAGAACACCGAUUGCGAAGGCAGAUCACUAAUAAUGUACUGACACUGAUGGACGAAAGCGUGGGGAGCGAACAGG